rnacentral:lncRNA from 1 species
GAGGAAAGAGAACUGGGAAUAGGGCCGGAGAAUUUGUUAUCGGAGAGGGAGAGGUUGGUGAGAAAGGGGAGGAGCGAGAGGUGGUCGCCGGAGAGAGUGCCGGAGAGGGAGAGGGAAGAGAGGUUGAGGGAGGUGACGUGGCGGAGGUGGUGGUCGCAGGAGACGCCGCGCCAUGUGCAGUGGUCGGAGGGAGAGGUGGGGGACCAGGAAGAGAGAGCGGAGGUGGGAUCGGAGGUAAUGGAGGCGGCUUUGAAGGAGAGCAAGGCACGGCGCUCGGAGAUGUGGGCGGAGUGGGCCGUGAGAUGGAGGCGGAGGAGGAAGAAGAGGAAGUGGAAGAGGAAGAGGCGCAUGUUUGGUUUUGCUUAGCUGGCAGUGGGAG